UACUUCGUUUAGCAAUCUCAAAAUCCAUUCUCUUAUUCGGUCUCAGCAGAACCGUCAGCCUUCCACGCAUAGACUAUACCCUAUGAUGAUUGCUCGCCCUAAGCAGUCUGAUGUCCGUCGUCCUCCUCCAUGCCUCUUUGUUAUUUGUAAGGAAACGAUAAGAAGUUUGAUUUUCGUGAAAAGGAGGGAUUUGUUGAAGGUUGGUGAGAAAAGUAUUAUGGCUCUCCUUUAAACAUGAGAUUUUUUUUGUUGGUGUUGAAGAGCAACCAAGAACAAACCCUUUUUGUUAAUUAAGUAUUCGUUAAUGGCUUCUCUCGGUGAUUCAAGCAAGGGCAUCCUGUCAUUAAAUAUAAGUGGGAUUCCCAUACUCAUAUUUUCUAUAUUUGAUUAUAUGUAAAUUGACAGCAUCAAGAUACUUAUAUUUAAUCUCUUUUUCCAGCUUUUUGACUAAUUGAGGUUUUUUCCGACGCCGCUGACAGCCAUGAUCAUGAGAAUAUCAUUGUUGCUUGAAGCCAUGUGGUGCAGAGAUUAGAUACGGUGUCACUGCAGCUGAGAGGCUUUUGGAAUUGUAUCAUGGAAAGUGGGAGCAAAAUGUAGAUUAAGUCUUUUAAGAAAUGGUUUAUUAAGGUUUUUUGUGUGGGAGUUUAAUUGGGUAAACCAUCUUUUUAGAUUUAAGGAAAUAAUAUGUGAAGUGGUUUUUUUGCCCUGUGAUGUUGAAGACAAUAGUGGGAAGUUUUGUUGGUAUUAAAAGUUUUCAUACUGUUUCUUAAA